GCAGAGAUAGUGGCGAACGGGUGAGUAACGCGUGGGUAACCUGCCCUGGAGACCGGGAUAACCUUCCGAAAGGAAAGCUAAUACCGGAUAUGCUCUUAGUACUGAUGGUACAAAGAGGAAAGAAUUUCGCUCCAGGAUGGGCCCGCGUCCCAUUAGCUAGUUGGUGAGGUAACAGCUCACCAAGGCCACGAUGGGUAGCCGGUCUGAGAGGAUGAACGGCCACACUGGAACUGAGACACGGUCCAGACUCCUACGGGAGGCAGCAGUGGGGAAUCUUCCGCAAUGGACGCAAGUCUGACGGAGCAACGCCGCGUGGGUGAUGAAGGUUUUCGGAUCGUAAAACCCUGUCAGGAAGGAAGAUAAUGACGGUACUUCCGAAGGAAGCCCCGGCUAACUACGUGCCAGCAGCCGCGGUAAUACGUAGGGGGCAAGCGUUGUCCGGAAUAACUGGGCGUAAAGAGCACGUAGGCGGUCUUUUAAGUCAGAUGUGAAAUAUCCCGGCUCAACCGGGAGGGUGCAUAUGAUACUGGGAGACUAGAGUGCAGGAGAGGAAAGUGGAAUUCCUAGUGUAGCGGUGAAAUGCGUAGAUAUUAGGAGGAACACCAGUGGCGAAGGCGGCUUUCUGGACUGUAACUGACGCUGAGGUGCGAAAGCCAGGGGAGCGAACGGGAUUAGAUACCCCGGUAGUCCAUGCUGUAAACGAUGAUUGCUAGGUGUGGGUGGACUGACCCCAUCCGUGCCGGAGUUAACACAAUAAGCAAUCCACCUGGGGAGUACGGCCGCAAGGUUGAAACUCAAAUGAAUUGACGG
rnacentral:rRNA from 1 species